rnacentral:rRNA from 1 species
GACGAACGCUGGCGGCGUGCUUAACACAUGCAAGUCGAACGGUGAAGCGCCUUCCUUUUUGGUGGGUGUGGAUGAGUGGCGAACGGGUGAGUAACACGUGAGUAACCUGCCCCCUUCUUCUGGAUAACCGCAUGAAAGUGUGGCUAAUACGGGAUAUUCUGGGUCUGUCGCAUGAUGGGUCUGGGAAAGAUAUUGUUUCGGUGGGGGAUGGGCUCGCGGCCUAUCAGCUUGUUGGUGGGGUGAUGGCCUACCAAGGCGGUGACGGGUAGCCGGCCUGAGAGGGUGGACGGCCACGCUGGGACUGAGACACGGCCCAGACUCCUAGGGGAGGCAGCAGUGGGGAAUAUUGCACAAUGGGCGCAAGGCUGAUGCAGCGACGCCGCGUGAGGGAUGGAGGCCUUCGGGUUGUGAACCUCUUUCGCCAGUGAAGCAGGCCUGCCUCGUUUGUGGGUGGGUUGACGGUAGCUGGAUAAGAAGCGCCGGCUAACUACGUG